UGAGCCGACUGGGUGAUCGCGGUGCCUAGCAUCGAGGAAGGUCGGGGCUCCAAAGAGCAGAAUGCUGGCUAACAGCCAGUCAGGGUGACCUGAAGGAAAGUGCCACAGAAAAUAGACCGCCGAUGAUUCUAUAUAGAAAACAGGCAAGGAUGAAACGGUGCGGUAAGAGCGCACCAGCGAUCAAGGUGACUUGUUCGGCUAGGUAAACCCCAUUCGGAGCAAGGUCAAGAAGGGAGAGGGCGGCUCGUCCGAAGAGACUCCCAGGUGGACUGCAUAGAUGGAUGAUCACACAACCGGAUCUGUAAAGAUCUGGUGGACAGAACCCCGCCUACAGGUCGGCUCACCAU
rnacentral:RNase_P_RNA from 4 species